rnacentral:rRNA from 1 species
UACGGGAGGCAGCAGUGGGGAAUAUUGGACAAUGGGCGAAAGCCUGGAUCCAGCCAUGCCGCGUGUGUGAAGAAGGUCUUCGGAUUGUAAAGCACUUUAAGUUGGGAGGAAGGGCAGUAAAUUAAUACUUUGCUGUUUUGACGUUACCGACAGAAUAAGCACCGGCUAACUCUGUGCCAGCAGCCGCGGU